UACGGAGGGUGCGAGCGUUAAUCGGAAUUACUGGGCGUAAAGCGUGCGUAGACGGCUAUCUAAGUCGGGUGUGAAAGCCCCGGGCUCAACCUGGGAAUUGCAUUCGAGACUGAAUAGCUAGGGUACGGUAGAGGGAAGCGGAAUUUCCGGUGUAGCGGUGAAAUGCGUAGAUAUCGGAAGGAACAUCAGUGGCGAAAGCGGCUUCCUGGACCAGUACCGACGUUCAGGCACGAAAGCGUGGGGAGCAAACAGG
rnacentral:rRNA from 1 species